rnacentral:rRNA from 1 species
CCAAACUGUUGCCUCGGCGGGAUCUCUGCCCCGGGUGCGUCGCAGCCCCGGACCAAGGCGCCCGCCGGAGGACCAACCAAAACUCUUUUUGUAUACCCCCUCGCGGGUUUUUUAUAAUCUGAGCCUUCUCGGCGCCUCUCGUAGGCGUUUCGAAAAUGAAUCAAAACUUUCAACAACGGAUCUCUUGGUUCUGGCAUCGAUGAAGAACGCAGCGAAAUGCGAUAAGUAAUGUGAAUUGCAGAAUUCAGUGAAUCAUCGAAUCUUUGAACGCACAUUGCGCCCGCCAGUAUUCUGGCGGGCAUGCCUGUCCGAGCGUCAUUUCAACCCUCGAACCCCUCCGGGGGGUCGGCGUUGGGGAUCGGCCCUGCCUCUUGGCGGUGGCCGUCUCCGAAAUACAGUGGCGGUCUCGCCGCAGCCUCUCCUGCGCAGUAGUUUGCACACUCGCAUCGGGAGCGCGGCGCGUCCACAGCCGUUAAACACCCAA